GAUGAACGCUGGCGGCGUGCCUAAUACAUGCAAGUCGAGCGAACAGAUGAGGAGCUUGCUCCUCUGACGUUAGCGGCGGACGGGUGAGUAACACGUGGAUAACCUACCUAUAAGACUGGGAUAACUUCGGGAAACCGGAGCUAAUACCGGAUAAUAUAUUGAACCGCAUGGUUCAAUAGUGAAAGACGGUUUUGCUGUCACUUAUAGAUGGAUCCGCGCCGCAUUAGCUAGUUGGUAAGGUAACGGCUUACCAAGGCGACGAUGCGUAGCCGACCUGAGAGGGGGAUCGGCCACACUGGAAAUAAGACACGGUCCACACUCCUACGGGAGGCGGCAGUAGGGGAUCUUCCGCAAUGGGCGAAAGCCUGACGGAGCAACGCCGCGUGAGUGAUGAAAGUCUUCGGAGCGUAAAACUCUGUUAUUAGGGAAGAACAAAUGUGUAAGUAACUAUGCACGUCUUGACGGUACCUAAUCAGAAAGCCACGGCUAACUACGUG
rnacentral:rRNA from 1 species